UUUACGAGUCCUGGCUCAGGAUGAACGCUAGCUACAGGCUUAACACAUGCAAGUCGAGGGGAAACGAUGAGAGAGCUUGCUCUCUCAGGCGUCGACCGGCGCACGGGUGAGUAACGCGUAUCCAACCUGCCCAUUACAGGGGAAUAACCUUGCGAAAGUAAGACUAAUGCCCCAUGGUAUUCUCAGCAGACAUCUAAUGAGGAUUAAAGAUUUAUCGGUAAUGGAUGGGGAUGCGUCUGAUUAGCUUGUUGGCGGGGUAACGGCCCACCAAGGCAACGAUCAGUAGGGGUUCUGAGAGGAAGGUCCCCCACAUUGGAACUGAGACACGGUCCAAACUCCUACGGGAGGCAGCAGUGAGGAAUAUUGGUCAAUGGGCGAGAGCCUGAACCAGCCAAGUAGCGUGCAGGACGACGGCCCUAUGGGUUGUAAACUGCUUUUAUAGGGGAAUAAAGUGAUCUACGUGUAGUUUAUUGUAAAUGUACCCUAUGAAUAAGGACCGGCUAAUUCCGUG
rnacentral:rRNA from 1 species